rnacentral:rRNA from 1 species
GCGAGCAUGUGAAUGUGAGCAAAUCCCAAAAAUAACGUCUCAGUUCGGAUUGUAGUCUGCAACUCGACUACAUGAAGCUGGAAUCGCUAGUAAUCGCGAAUCAGAAUGUUGCGGUGAAUACGUUCCCGGGUCUUGUACACACCGCCCGUCACACCAUGGGAGUCAGUAACGCCCGAAGCCGGUGACCCAACCAAACGGAGGGAGCCGUCGAAGGUGGGACCGAUAACUGGGGUGAAGUCGUAACAAGGUAGC